GACUCAGUAGCUCAGCUGGUAGAGCACAUCCCUUUUAAGGAUGUGGUCCUGGGUCCGAAUCCCAGCUGGGUCA
rnacentral:tRNA from 1 species